rnacentral:lncRNA from 1 species
GUAAAUGAUUUGGGGCAUUCUGUUUAUUCUUAAGCCACUUGCUAAACAAACAUCCCGACAUGUGUCAUGUCCCACCAUUUGCCGGCCUUUUGAGCCAAACGUUCAUUUUUUGGCCAGAACCUUGACCUAGGAUGGAAAUUUCCAACCUUAUCCUUGGAAGAGAGAACAUAAGGAUCUUCCAAGAGAAGCUUCCUUUACAUUGGGUUACAAAUGUGUGUCAAGAGAAAAG